UUGGCAUUUAAAUUUGUUACAAUUUAUUUAAAUUUAAAGGGAAUUUUGCUUGAAUAAAGAAGUAAAUUGAUGAAGAAAGUUGCCGUGAUUGGUUUAUGGUACGUUCAUCGUGGUUCGGGUUCCUUGUCAAUUCUUGAGCAACUCUAAGAAUCCAAGCGAGAAGGAUGCAUUAUAUAAACUUUGGCUUGGAAGGCAAACCUUUGAAAAAGACGAAAAACAAUGCAACCAACCAGAUGAAAGG